rnacentral:rRNA from 1 species
AUUGAACGCUGGCGGCAUGCCUUACACAUGCAAGUCGAACGGCAGCACGGGUGCUUGCACCUGGUGGCGAGUGGCGAACGGGUGAGUAAUAUAUCGGAACGUACCUUAUUGUGGGGGAUAACGCAGCGAAAGCUGUGCUAAUACCGCAUAAUCCCUUAGGGGAAAGCGGGGGACCGUAAGGCCUCGCGCAAUUAGAGCGGCCGAUACCUGAUUAGCUAGUUGGUGAGGUAAAGGCUCACCAAGGCGACGAUCAGUAGCUGGUCUGAGAGGACGAUCAGCCACACUGGGACUGAGACACGGCCCAGACUCCUACGGGAGGCAGCAGUGGGGAAUUUUGGACAAUGGGGGCAACCCUGAUCCAGCAAUGCCGCGUGAGUGAAGAAGGCCUUCGGGUUGUAAAGCUCUUUUGUCAGGGAAGAAACAGCAGCUCUAACACAGUAUGCGAAUGACGGUACCUGAAGAAUAAGCACCGGCUAACUACGUGCCAGCCGCCGCGGUAA